UCUGGGUGUGGUGGUGCAUACCUGUAGUCCCACCUUCUCUGGAAGCUGAGAUGGGAGGAUCACUUGAACCCACAAGUUCAACACCAGCAUGGGUAAAACAUCAAGGCCCUGUCUCUC
rnacentral:sRNA from 1 species